UGGGAACGUGCCUUUUGGUUCGGAACAACCCAGGGAAACUUGGGCUAAUACCGGAUAAGCCCUUACGGGGAAAGAUUUAUCGCCAAAAGAUCGGCCCGCGUCUGAUUAGCUAGUUGGUGGGGUAAUGGCCUACCAAGGCGACGACGGGUAGCCGGCCUGAGAGGGCGACCGGCCACACUGGGACUGAGACACGGCCCAGACCUCCGUACGGGGAGGCAG
rnacentral:rRNA from 1 species